rnacentral:rRNA from 1 species
UUGAGCAUCAAACUUUUAAAUUGAAGAGUUUGAUCAUGGCUCAGAUUGAACGCUGGCGGCAGGCCUAACACAUGCAAGUCGAACGGUAACAG